AGAGUUUGAUCCUGGCUCAGGAUGAACGCUGGCGGCGUGCUUAACACAUGCAAGUCGAACGAAGCACUGGAGAACGAAUCUUCGGAGGAAGUCUCCUUUGACUGAGUGGCGGACGGGUGAGUAACGCGUGGGUAACCUACCUCACACAGGGGGAUAACAGUUGGAAACGACCGCUAAUACCGCAUAAGCCGGAAGGAUCGCAUGAUCCGGCCGGAAAAGAUUUAUCGGUGUGAGAUGGACCCGCGUCUGAUUAGCCAGUUGGCAGGGUAACGGCCUACCAAAGCGACGAUCAGUAGCCGGCCUGAGAGGGUGAACGGCCACAUUGGGACUGAGACACGGCCCAAACUCCUACGGGAGGCAGCAGUGGGGAAUAUUGCACAAUGGGGGAAACCCUGAUGCAGCGACGCCGCGUGAGUGAAGAAGUAUUUCGGUAUGUAAAGCUCUAUCAGCAGGGAAGAAAAUGACGGUACCUGACUAAGAAGCCCCGGCUAACUACGUGCCAGCAGCCGCGGUAAUACGUAGGGGGCAAGCGUUAUCCGGAUUUACUGGGUGUAAAGGGAGCGUAGACGGCCAGACAAGUCAGAAGUGAAAGCCCAGGGCUCAACCCUGGGACUGCUUUUGAAACUGCCGGGCUGGAGUGCAGGAGAGGUAAGCGGAAUUCCUAGUGUAGCGGUGAAAUGCGUAGAUAUUAGGAGGAACACCAGUGGCGAAGGCGGCUUACUGGACUGUAACUGACGUUGAGGCUCGAAAGCGUGGGGAGCAAACAGGAUUAGAUACCCUGGUAGUCCACGCCGUAAACGAUGAA
rnacentral:rRNA from 1 species